AUACCCCUUGCAUUCGAUGCAUUUCAGUUCCUUUCUUUUGGUCAAAGGACAUUCAUUACGAUAGUGACCAUAGCCUUCACAUUCAUGACAUUGUAGUUCCUUUUUACGGUUUCCUCUUCCUGAGUCAUUUCGUGCGUUCGAGCGAUCACUGUCUCUGUUCUGAAAUCGGUUGCUAGACCUGUUAUGUCCCUUCUCAACCCGUUUAAGCAUUUUGUUGAAGUUCUUGGCCAUAAGACUCAUGUUGUCCUCAAUUCGUUUGACGCGAUCAAUCUCCUUAUUGUCUGUAGUAAAAGCAAUUCCUUUUUGCUCUUUGGGAAGUCCUUCUGCUCAUUCCAGGUCAUGAACUUUGAGAAUCCCGGCCAGUUGAUCAAACUUCAUCUCAUCAGUGUUGAUAGCAAUCUUCAAGACAGCUUUGUAUGCCUCAAAUCGCGGAGGGAGACAUCUCAACACUUUUUUCACAAGUUU
rnacentral:lncRNA from 1 species